AGUGAACUGGAUUGGAUUAGCCGCUGGUCUUGUCCUUAAAUAAUACAUCCCAGUCUUCAAACCCUACAAGGAAAGUAAAGACAAUUAUUAGGAGAAACUCUGUAAGAAUACUAGACAUUCCACACCAAUAUUUA
rnacentral:antisense_RNA from 1 species